rnacentral:rRNA from 1 species
AUACGGAGGGUGCAAGCGUUACUCGGAAUCACUGGGCGUAAAGCGCGCGCAGGCGGUCUUUUAAGUUGGAUGUGAAAGCCUACGGCUCAACCGUAGAACUGCAUCCAAAACUAUUAGACUAGAGUGUGGGAGAGGAAGAUGGAAUUAGUUGUGUGGGGGUAAAAUCCGUAGAGAUAACUAGGAAUACCAAAAGCGAAGGCAAUCUUCUGGAACACUACUGACGCUGAGGCGCGAAAGCGUGGGGAGCAAACAGGAUUAGAAACCCUAGUAGUCC